GACGAACGCUGGCGGCGUGCUUAACACAUGCAAGUCGAACGGAAAGGCCCUGCUUUUGUGGGGUGCUCGAGUGGCGAACGGGUGAGUAACACGUGAGUAACCUGCCCUUGACUUUGGGAUAACUUCAGGAAACUGGGGCUAAUACCGGAUAGGAGCUCCUGCUGCAUGGUGGGGGUUGGAAAGUUUCGGCGGUUGGGGAUGUACUCGCGGCUUAUCAGCUUGUUGGUGUGGUAGUGGCUUACCAAGGCUUUGACGGGUAGCCGGCCUGAGAGGGUGACCGGCCACAUUGGGACUGAGAUACGGCACAGACUACAACGGGAGGCAGCAGUGGGGAAUAUUGCACAAUGGGCGGAAGCCUGAUGCAGCAACGCAGCGUGCGGGAUGACGGCCUUCGGGUUGUAAACCGCUUUCGCCUGUGACGAAGCGUGAGUGACGGUAAUGGGUAAAGAAGCACCGGCUAACUACGUG
rnacentral:rRNA from 1 species